UCACCCAGACCCGAGCUCCAGUGGCCCCCAAGUAAAUUGAGUUUGAGACCCCUGCUCUAAUGUCAGAUGAUUUUAAGGAUGAACACAGUUGAUGAAAUCAAAAGCCGGGUUGAAGUUAGGGGUUCAAUUACUUUUCUGAAGCUAUGUUUGAAGUUGUCAGACAGGAAGCCGUAGAGCAGCGGGUUGGCGCAGGAGUUGGCGUACGACAGGAUGACUGCAAAGAAGUAAAUCCCCGCAGUGGCGCUGGACUCUGGGAUGAUGACCACAAGGUUGACGAUGUUGAUGAUGAAGAACGGCAGCCAGCAGAGCACAAACACCACCACGAUGACCACCACCAUUUGAGUCACCUUGCGCUCGGAACGCCGCCGCGAGGUGAAGCCGGCGCGCAUUCCUGAGGACUUCACCUGUUGGUGGAAUGGAUGAGACGAGCUGAGAAACCGUGGCUUGGAGGAUCAUACCUGCACAUCAGAGAAGAUGACCACCGGCAGGACCACCACAAAAGACACAGCCCACACCGCUGCGCUCACCACCUUGGCGACGCGCGGGUGCCUCCAAUUGGAGCCCCGAAUCGGGUGCACCACGGCCAGGUAGCGGUCGAUGGACAUAACGGUGAGGCAGAAAAUGGACGUGAACUGGUUCAUGGAGUCAGCGGUCAUCACCACCCGGCACAGGAAGGACCCGAAGGGCCAGUAGGAGAGCACAUUCUGCGUGCGCAGCACCACGUAGAUGGCCAAAGUGUUCCCGACCAGACCCACCAGGAAGACGGUGAUGGAGAUCACCGCUGUCAGUAACGUGCUGCUGCCCUGGAAUGGCACACUCUGCGUGGACACGUUGGAGAUGUUGACGAGGGCAGAGAGGGGUUACUUCAGUGUGGUAGUCCAGGCGCGUCAAGAAGGUGUAACCUCCACACUGGCUUUGUAGACCGUUGUGGACCCUGGCCUCCUCCUCCUACCACCUUCUUCCUGUAGCCCUACAAUAACACAGACAGUGGCCUCAGUAAGUGCUGUUUUCCUGCCUGGACCCAAGGACCCUCCCCAUAACUAAACAGAAGCCGAGCUCAUUUUACCUCCUUCCCCCGCCCACAUUGGACCUGUCCCGGGCCAGACGCUAACGCUAAACAAUAUGAGUCAUGAGCAAGAGGCGUAACACACGUACUUCAAAUUGGAGUCAAAUAUACCUGAAUGUUAGUGGUUAGGCUGCACGGUGGUCGAGUGGUUAGCGCGCAGACCUCACAGCUAGGAGACCAGGGUUCAAUUCCACCCUCGGCCAUCUCUGUGUGGAGUUUGCAUGUUCUCCUCAUGAAUGAGUGGGUUUUCAACGGGUACUCCGGUUUCCUCCCACAUUCCAAAAACAUGCUAGGUUAAUUGGCCACUCCAAAUUGUCCAUAGGUAUGAAUGUGAGUGUGAAUGGUUGUUUGUCUAUAUGUGCCCUGUGAUUGGCUGACCACCAGUCCUCCGGCCUGAAGACAGCUGGGAUAGGCUCCAGCACCCCCGCGACCCUUGUGAGGAAAAGCGGUAGAAAAUGAAUGAAUGAAUGUUAGUGGUUAGCAUGCAGGCCUCACAGCUAAGAGACCCGAGUUCGAUUCCACUCUCGGCCAUCUCUAUGUGGAGUUUGCAUGUUCUCCUCAUGAAUGAGUGGGUUUUCUCCGGGUACUCCGGUUUCCUCCCACAUUCCAAAAACAUGCUAGGUUAAUUAGCGACUCCAAAUUGUCCAUAGGUAUGAAUGUGAGUGUGAAUGGUUGUUUGUCUAUAUGUGCCCUGUGAUUGGCUCUCGCCCGAAGACAGCCGGGAUAGGCUCCAGCACCCACGCAACCCUCGUGAGGAUAAGUGGUAGAAAAUGAAUGAAUGUGUAUUCCCUGAUAUAUAUAUUUUUUACAUGCUAUACAUUUUGUGUACUGUGUACUGCCUUCAGGGUAAUCAAAGAACUACUUGUUAUCAAGAAUAAACGCGGACGUUGUCAUGGGCGGAAAUACGUAAAUCACUUCACACCUUUAUUUCCACUUCAUAGAAUGACUCAUGUCUGUACUGAUGUACAUAUACAUUAAACGUACAGUAUGUACAAUCGUCCCUUGACACGUUGCAGUUGGAAUUUCGCCGCUUACGGUUUUU